AUCUUUACACAGUGACAGUAUCAUAGCCAUUGAGGUUUAUCUGUGGCAUGAUCAUUGCUAACUGAUACUUCCCUCUUUAGGAAUUGAAACGUCCCUCUUUCAGAAUGAAAGCUUGGGGGAAUAAAAACAAAAACCUUCCCAAUACCCUGCCGGGUU
rnacentral:snRNA from 1 species